CUCGAUUUCCGCGUAUGUGACAUUUAUUAUCGAAUACUUGACAGAUUUUAAUACUUUGUGUCUAAAGACAAAUUUCAGUGCUUAUUAAUACCUUAAGCUUCCUUGAUAAAUGAAGGGAGUUUCCCUUCACACCGUUGGCGGCAUAAUUUAGUUCCCUGGGUUUAUUUAUUUCUAAGAGGGAGCCACUAUAGAGGAAAACAAGUUCUAAGCAGAGGUUAAGUCUUAAGUCACAGAUUAGAGAGGUGAUUAUGUGGUGUACAUGUCGUAGGCUAAUAUUAAAACCAUGCGUAUUAUAAAACGCCUAAGAAGUUAUCGUCUUAUUGUAAAAUGGUUUUUUAUAUUGUCUAUUUAGAAAAUGCAUGCCAGGUGACAUUCAGUCAUGUUGUAAAAGAUUGAAAAAUACAAUUAGACAUUUUCUAAAAUACCACUUUCUAUUGCAGUUUAAUUCUUCCUUAUGGUAUGCUGUCAGAGUUAUAAAAUUCGAAAGUAUUCAAUAUCAAAGCGGAAGAUCAGAAUACGUCACGACGCCAAUGGAUUGUUUCCAUAUUUUGGCUAAUACGUGUAGUUUCUUAUUUACAAUGACAUUACCGAUAAAUAAGCCCUUGUGGAUACUUUUCCUGUAUAUUUCGACGCAACAACCAAAUUUUACCCAUUUUCAGGUAAAUUUACUCCCAAAAUUCACAAUUUUUCCCCAUAGUCACAUUCGGUGAAGUCGAAGUUUGACGAAUAUUAACGAAACACUUGGAAAUAUUUUGAAUGAACCAAUCAGAACAGAAGUCCUUAACGGUCAAAGUCGCAUACCAUGCGUCACUUCCCCUUGCCCCACUUGCACAUGUUGGAUUUACAACAAAUCUCACAGUCUAUCAAACACAUGGUCGAAGGUGUCACACUGCUGUUAGUGCAGAAGUUUUUUUUAAGACAAAACGUAUUUGAUUUAGUGGUACAGUUAUAGAAAACGUAGAAUUCUACGUGUUUUGCUGUUAGGAACCAAAAGCCCAUGUUGCAAUAUGGCGUCGCAAUGACCUCGGUGAUCGAAUGUGAUUGGCGACUUCAAGCAAAGCUGUAUUUAUGAAUGAUUCUGGAGUCGUCUUUCUGGUGAAAUUGUUGGUACUAAUCAGUAUUGCCAACUCAUUCCCCUAAAUUUUUACUACGUGUUUACUAUGAUAGUAAAAUCUAUUACGUAACCUUAAAAUUGUUAUAUUAUUAUUAAUACAAAGUGUGUUAUAAGUGUUUAAUUACAUUACUAGAACAAAGAAAAUGAACUCUGUUGCGUUUAAAACAAUUUCCAGUACAAAUAUGGUAAAAUUGAGUCCAUCUUAAAUUUGAUCACAAUUUUGAUGGUCGAAACUGUUUUCAUUGUAUUCCCUAGCUUUAAUUUGAUCGCCUUUCUAAAAAGGAACAUUGAUUAUGUAAAAAAGUGUUACGAAUGAAUACUCAUCUUUAAUGAAGGAAAGGUCUAAUAACAAAAACCUCUCUAAUCUGUGCUUCAAGAUUUUGCCGAACGGUGUAGGUGGCGCUACAAUAUAGAGUAAGUAAUACUUCUGUUUGGGUGUAGGUGUAGACAGAUGGGUGGCUUUUGCCCUUCGACCAUAUAUCAUAUAGGUUCGCCGUAAAGCGAGUUUGUAUAGUAUAAUUUUUUUAAUUUUGGCCGAAUGUCGUAUAAAUGUAUCAAAUAAUACUUUCUCAUCUGCUACUAGUUUUGUCUUUGUUGUUACUAUGAGAAUGAGUGAAACAAAAUACAAACCAUCAAGCGUAGUAGAAAAUGGGAGGAUCUACCAGUUGUUCCCAAACUAUGGGAUGCCACUUCGUUAUUUGUCAUGUUUAUUGUUGUUAAAUAAAUUAAUGUCUUUUGUUUAUUUGCCUGGUCAACUCUAUAAACAAAAUGUUUACUAUUAUCAGUAAACAUAUACAUGUUAAGUAUGAAUUUCAAUUUAAAAGUGGCUUAUAAAUUCCAAAGACUUUUUAAUGUAAACAAUUUGUAAACAGAAUUGUCUCUUAUUCUUUUAGAAGAUUGUUAUGUUCCAUCUGUAAUUACUUAAUUUACUGCUACAGCGACUUUCUAACACAUGAUGGUAUUAAUACCAUGGAAGAUGAAAAUAAGAUUAGUCUCUUAGACACAAGUCAUUGAUUGUAGAUAAGACUUUUCACUUUAGAAAGUUGGGUUUAAGGGUCAUUUUACCCUUAUCCUACUCUCACAAAUUUAGUUGUUUCUACGUCUGGUAAUAGUAAAUAGUAAAUGUCAGUUACUUCGAAAAAAUGUAUGAUAAACAGUGUCGUGAAUUGAUAAAAAAUGUUAAGUUUUUGUUAGCUGAAAAAGAAAACUUUUUGUACUCAUAGCGUUUAGAUAGCUAUUCCCAGACGGACUUUCCCGCAUUGCGGUGUUUUUUACUUUGCAACAAUGGCUAGGGACAUUUAAUAAUAUGAUAUAAUAAUAUUAAUGAUAUUUAAUAUCGUUGAGAUAAAAAUGGUUAUUUUUUACGAUGAAUGAUGAAUUGAUGAAUCUAUUUUACAAAUGUGGCAAAGUGCUUUAAAUCAAGUUACACCAGAAAAAAUAUUACUAUAGGCAGGUUGUUUGAAGCCAACAUGUAAGGGCGAGUGAAGUGAGGGGCAAGAGGAAGUUUACUUCUUGUUCAAUUCCAGCUCGUAGUCAAGGGGCAAACAAUUGAAAAAACAUUACGAGUUCAGAAAUAAUUUAUGUAUUCGAAUUAAAAAAAUUGCCUUAGUUAAAGUACUUCUAAUUCUAUCUUAUGACAUGUAGUCAGAGUUAUAAAGUAUCAAAGCGGAAAAUCAGAAUACGUUAAGACGCCACUGGUGUGUUUCCAUAUUUAGGUUAACACGUGUAUUUUCUUACUUACGGAUGACAUUACCGAUAAAUAAGCCUUUGUGAAUACUUUCUCCUGUAUAUUUCCACGCAAGAACCAAAUUUUACCCAUUCAGAUGUAAAUUUAAGCCCAAAAUUCGCAAUUUUUCCCUUUAAACACAAUCGUGAAGCACGAAGUUUGAAGAAUAUUAACGAAACACUUGGAAAUAUUUUGAACGAACCAAUCAGAGAAGGGGUACCUAAGAGUCAAAUUCGCGUACCGUCCAUCAUUUUCCCUUGCCCUACUUGCACAUGUUGGUUUCACCACAAAUUUCAAUUACAAAUUUCAGUUUGCCCAAUCUAUAGUAUGGUCUAUACUAUGGUCAAAGGGCAAGAGCCUACCUCUCAAUUUUUGGGGGACGUCAUAUUUGGCAUAUAUUUGGUCCACGCGCCAUACACACAUGCCAUUCCUCAUUCCAACUUAAACCUUGCCACUGCGCUUAACCUAAAGAAGCAGUUGAUCGUCUCUGGUUGUUCGAGAGUCCGUGAGUAGUCUUUUUUGUGUUGAGUUUCAAACUAUUGAAUUAAGUUCAGUGUCGAGUGUGGUUGACUUAAUAAAAUUGUGGACAUGAACCACCAUCGCAGGGGAAUCCUAUCUAAGUGCUACUUCAACAAGAGUCCUUAUCGGUAAGUUUUUUUUGUUUAUUGUACAUAAUUAUAUGCGCCGUAUUCUACACAAUCAACAGCUUUGUUCGCGGACGAUUUUUAGAACUAAUCAUUAACUAGACAGGAUUUAUUUAAAGCGCAUGUGCGGUUCUGAACCAGUUACGGAUUUUCAUCUACCGCGAACGAUAAAAAAUCUUUGUGAAGAGCCCGGCAAAUAUUCGAAUAUGAAUAGUAAUAUUAUUCACUAAUUUUAAAAAUCGCUACCUCUGCAUAAUUUAUAAAUUUGAAGAGUUUAAGCUGGAAGUUUCCAUUUAUCUCCAAACCCUUACCUUGGGUUAAUUUACCUGAGGGCCGGAAAUUUUUUUUACUCGUAAAUAAAAAUUAAAAAAACAUUUUUUUAUUAAAUAAAUUGAGUUUUCGACAGAAAACUUUGCUUUAUUCAAAAGUUCUUUAUAAAAUUAAUGGCAAAUUAUUUACUACUGCGUUCCUUUUAAUAAUCCCAUCCCGAUCGUUUGCAAUUUCAAAAUUCUCAUCCUGAUUUCGAACUUCCUGUAGAUGCCCUUCGGCGAUUUGUACGUUUUCGUCCAUGAAAUCAUCAGCAAUACAAAAGUUACGUAGAACAGCCAUGGGUCUUAUAAAAUGUACAAUAUCUUCUAUACUACGCAAUUUGAAAUGAUACAGUUGUCGAAAUCUUUGUUUCAUUAAACCAAAACAAUGUUCAACAAUGCUAUAUCGAUUUUUUGAUAAAAUGUAAUUAAAAUUUCUUUGGCGUCUAAACAAGUGGCCAUUAUCUUUAAAUGGCGUUAAAAGAUGUUUUAGGCAGGGGCAGCCACUAUCACUAAGAAUAAAGUUUUCUUGACAUUUUUCGAGCAACGUCUCAAACAGUUCUUAACACUGCUAUCGUGCACUAAUCCGGCAAAUCCAAUAAAAACAUCUCUUAUUUUACAUCUAUGGUCACACACAACUUGAGCCUAUAAAAAAAGUACUCGGAUUAACAAUAAGUAAUAAUAUUAAACAGAGAAAUACCUGAAUUGAGUAAAAACCUUUCCUAUUCAAAUACGUAUCUGUAUCUUCAGAUGGUUUAUCAAUCAAUGUGGGUACCAUCAUCUAUUACACCAAUAACCCCCGGGAAGUCCCUGUCCCGAAAAUAUGCCUCUGUUGCAAUUUGUUCAUCUGCGGUUGGCCACUUUAUGUAAUUAGGAGAUAAAUUACUUAAAAAAUAGAUAACUCUUAUUAUCUUAUGCAGUGAACUUUUAUCUAAAUUAAAUCUGUCUCUCUAAAAAAUGCCGCCUCGUUGUCAGCAAACCAUAAGGAAAUAAUUAUACAGGGUGUAUCAGAAAUACGUUUUAAUUUUAACAUGAACAGAGCUCAACAAAUAAGAUAUUUUUUCUAUAUAAAAUUUUUCUAUAAAAGUUUCACAAAUGUAUUUAAAAUUUUGAAAAUAUUGAAUCGUGUAUCCGCCUAUGAGUAUAAAAAUACAAGUUUCGUUGUGAUAGAAACGGAAUUUUACAAUUAAUUAAUAAAAAGCAACCUGUGGACCCUGAAGAUUUAAUGUCAAACAUCAGAACUGUCACGUUUUUUAUUUUACAAUAAUUCUUAAAAAAAAUGAUAAAAUAUUUAUUAUGAACAAUAUAAAAUAGAACAUGCACAACAGAAAACAGAACGCAAAAAUUAACGGAAAUGACAAUUAAUAGUAAACCAAAUUAACAGAAACAACAUCAAAAGUUUUACAGCAAGUGUUCUAAAUGACCACCAUUUGCGUUUAAACAACACUGGACUCGUCUCCUAAGUGAAUUUUUGACUCGCUCUACUGUCGGGCCACUAGUACGAAUGGUUUCAGCAGCGUUAAAAAUCCGAUCCCUGAGCUGUUCAAUAUUGUCAAUUGGGACAAGGUAUAGCAACUCUUUCAUGUAGUCCCAUAGAAAAAAGUCGCAGGGGUUCAGGUCCGGAGACCUGGCUGGCCACGCAACUGGGCCAUAGGUGCCGAUCCAACGUUGUGGGAAGUUCGUAUUUAACCAAUUUCUCAUAACAUGGGCUCUGUGGCAAGGAGCCCCGUCAUGCAAAAACCAUAAAUUUUGUCUAGUUUCUAAAUUUACAUCGUCCAGUAACUCAAAAAGAACGUCUCUUAAAAAAUGUAAAUAUUGUUCGGCAUUAAGACGAUGUGGCAAAAUGUGCGGUCCAAUUAGCUGUCUAUUUAAAAUUCCUGCCCAAACAUUUAUCGAAAAUUCUUGCUGAAAAUUUUGUUGGCUUAUUGCAUGCGGGUUUUCAUCAGCCCAUACAUGCUUAUUAUGAACAUUAAAUAUUCAUUCCCUCGUAAAUCCUGCUUCGUCAGUUGUUAGCAAAUAAUUUAAGAUAGUUGGUUCUGCAUGAUUUUUGGCAAUCAUCCACUCUUAAAAUGUGCGCCUGCGAACAUAAUCACCAGGUUGCCAUAAUUGCAUUCGUUGCACGUGUUAUGGAUGUAACUGUUGCAGUCUUAAAAUUCGCCAAAUCGUUGAAUGCGAAACUCCAUAUUGAAGAGCAAGUCUUCGAGUACUGGUGCCCGGUCGAGCUGCAACAGCAUCCAAAAUGUCGUCUUCAACAUUAGCUAUCUGUUGAGGACGAGCUCUGCUGCGAUCUUGGGUUUGGGGCUUAAACGAGCUAUGCUCCCGUAGAUGUUGUACAGUUGACUGAAAUGUAUGGCUGUUGGGCAAAGUACGAUUAGGAUAACGCUGUGCAUAUAGUCUUCGUGCCUUUGCAGUAUUUCCAAGAGCUUCACCUUAUAGUAAAACAAUAUCUGUUAAAUCUUGACUUGAAAAAUUCGGCGUUUUUCAAAAUAAUAAGAUAUUUUGAAAGGUCAGUACUUAAUGUCAUGUAUAUUGACAGUAUAUUCUAUGAAUAUAAAAAAUACAAACUAAUUAUUAACCAUGAACGGUUCGUUUGCACAAAAACAAGGAGGAAAACAAUAAAAAUAAUACAUGAGAAGUUUAUAAAAUGUUAUAUAGAAAAGUUGUUGUACUUGAUGAGUUGUAUUACGUGUUAAAAUUAACACACGUAUUUCUGAUACACCCUGUAUAUUUUAGUGGACAAUUUUUUUCCAAAUCGCCUUCCUGGUGGUGAAAAUAUUCCGACGCAGCAGAUCGUUGAGAUAUUUUCUCUAUUAUAUUGAGGCUUAAUCGGAAAUGUUCCAUAAACUGGUAAUCGGAAAACUGUGGCACAAUUUCCUCCAAAAAACCUAGUUGUUCUCGGAAUUGUGAUGACCUCCAACACUUCUUCAAAGUCGUCAUCACUCGAGCUAUCAUCAUCCGACAUCAGGCCCCUGAAAGUCUAUACAGAUUAUGGGUUCACAGGCAGGGGUGGGGCAAAGGGGGGAAACGGCUGAAAUAGUUCAAUUGCUACGCGCUAGAAGUCGCGUCAGUCGCAAAGAAAUCUGUAAAUUUAAAGGAAUCUGUAACACAUUUUGCUAAAAGUAAAGAAAGAUAACUUAAAAUAAUCGACGUGCGCACACUUCUCUUUUUAAUGUUUUGAUUUAAAAUAGUCGAGUAAGUUAUGUUUUGUCUGCGUUUUGUGGCGACAUUUUGUUUUCACUAAAUUCACAGUUUUUCUUGUCGUGUGAAGUGUUUUUGAGUGUUUUUCCAUUCGGACUUUUAUUUUGAACUGAUAGUGCGGUGUCGAAUUAGUUUAUAAUUAAGGUAAACACAAUUGAAAGAUGACAAACAACUAAUUGUGUGAUUUUAGUUAGUUUUUAAAUCUACUGAUAAUUGUCUUCAUUUUCCACUAGUACUUAAGGAAUCUUUCAUUUUCAUUAUUUAAGUUAAUUAUACCAAGGUCUUCUAAGAAAAACCAUAUUUGGAUUGUUCUCCCUCGCUCUAUACAAUCAGGUAUGGAUGACUUAUGCCGUAAAUGUGUCGUGCCCGGUUGUGGGAAUCGGCGAAAACCUCUUCAUAGGUUCCCGAACCCUAAAAAAUCUUUAUGGAGGUUUCGCCAAUGGGUUCAGCGAAUAGGUAGUCCUCGUUUGGCGAAUUUCACAGACCAUCAAGUCUUCAACCGGGUCCGCAUUUGCAAUAACCAUUUUGUUGCUGUAGAUUUUGUUGGUCUGACCCACAAAUUGACGAGUAAUGCCAAACAUUUUUUGUGGUAUUGUUCACAAUUCGUUUUUCUUAAAUUUGAAAAUCACUGUUUUCUACAUUGUACAGAAUGCUAUGUCUUACUUUUCUUUUUUGUAUUGCAAUUAUGAGCAGUCCUAAUACAAAUUAAUUAAAAUUAGUAUUUUUUUCCUUGCUGUCUUAUUCAAAGAGUUUAUUAUUUCUUCUCGCCUAGUUGCACUGUCCUGUUUGCGCAUUUAUGCCUUUUUAUAUCAUGUGUUUAGAUUUUAAUACUUGUUUCGUAUUCUUUUGCAAGCAUAUUUUUGAUAUUAUAAAAAGCAUUUGUACCUGUUACAUUGUUAUGUAAACUAAUGUGCUUUUUAAGUAUAGGUGUUGUCUCAAAUUUCUAUGAAAAUUUUCUUUAUUAUUUUUUUGUACGAAACUAUGCGAUCAUUUUAAUUUAUAAUUAGAGUAGACGGUUUUGUGUCUUUGUUAUUAAAAAACUAGUGCAAACUGAUGGAACAAAUGUAUUUGAAUUGAAAAUGACCGUUCAAAAUAUUAUUAUUUGACUCUUUAGUUUGAUUAAUUGUCACAAUCGGCCUUUUCAUCCAAGUUAAAAAACUGAUAAAGCCUAAUGUAAUUAUAAAUACAAAUGAUCACAUGGUAUUUAUACAUAUUUCAAAAAUUUCAAAUGCACUGUUGUCAUUCUGUUUAAAAAUUUGGAAUAGAAUUUAUAAGCAUGGUUAUCAAAAUUUAGUUAACGUUGGUUUCGUUGUUUCGAUUCUCUUAUUAUUUUAUAAUAAAUUUAUAUUCUAUGAUUUUGGUGUUAUUAAAUAUUGUUAAAUGUUUUUGUGCUCUUGCAAUUGUUGUAGAUUCAAAUGUUUGGCGACAUUGCAAUAGUACAAAAACAUUAACAUCCACAAUCCUUAAAACAGUGAAAAAAAUCAGACAUAUUUGAAUUUCCCGCUAUUGUCAACGUUUGAAUUUCCCGCUAUUAUC